CUAAGACAGUAUCUAAUUGGUCAAGACAACAUUUGAGGUGUGGCCGAAAGGCCAGUUUAAAUACUCAGGACACCAUCAAAAUUAGGCUUUUAGUUUUAGCUCUUAGCUUUUAGCCAUGCUUUUUUUCAUUACAUUUUGCGUUCUUUGAGCUAUGUUCCAGCGUGCUUGGACCUGCACGUCUGCUGCUACUUAGCCACGAUGAGAAGAAACACCACUUAAGCUGUGUUCCAAAGUUGAGUGUGCACACUUCGAAGGCCAAGGACUUCGAAAACCAGGCCUCCGAAGUGCGUGAGAUGCUCCGCCUUUGCAGGAUUUCCUAAUUUCGCCACCAGGUGUUUCCAAUUACUGCUCUGUUAGAUAGCAACGGUGCGAGAGGAGAGCUGACGAGAGGACAAUCCUGCCAGUAUAGGUGGAGCCAGAAUUGCUAAUUUUUGUUUUUAGGUUUUACGUCUUAAUGGAGGAGACGUGAUGUACCUCAGGCUUAGCCAAUACCGAGGCCAGACCAGACCCCUGUACUGCAGGAUAAAGCUGAAUGUGGCAGCGCUGGACAGGUUUUUAAUGGUUUUGUUCUGAGCAGCGAGGCCCUGAAAGUGCUGCUUGAUCUUCAGAGCAGUGCCACAAUCCAGACCCUGGUGUUUUUCUUCUGUCUGCCAGUGGUACAUCAUACAGAUGGUCUCCAGAGUGUUUGACAUGUGCCUCGUUCCACUGUCCACCACACUGUCCUCCGAGUCGCUGAGGAGGUGCUGGUCAUUCACCAAGAGAUUCACCUCCUGAAGACCCCAGAACACAUGGAGGUGAGAUGUGGAUCUUAACUUCGGACGAGACAAGGCAGCAUAACUUAACACAGGGCAUCACUCACCAAUAAACUGGGAGCAGACGAAUCUGACUCCCAGUCCUGUUGGACAGCACUCCACAAAAACCACUGGACCAGGACGGACAAGGCAGGCUCCGGACAGCACAGCAAGGAACGGCAGCAACCUUAGCGCAGCACAGGAGAAGACGAAGACACACAGCAGCCACCGAGUUGAUAGCAAGACCGGCACAUCAACAACUUUGGGCUUCGACACAAGCAGACAAUAAUCAAAUGCAACAAUCGUGGCAACAAAAUAAGUCAAUCGCAACUACCAUCCAGCAGUAAAAACGUGGGGAACAGAGCAGCAACAAGCAGAGUUCACGGGGUAACAGGCACCUGUUUUAAUUCCUUCGCUGUUUUUGAACAGUCUGUGAUUUGGGAUGGCAAUUACCAACAGCUGUCUAUCCGCUAAUCAGAUAUGGUCCGAGCCCUAGGAGAACACGGGGGCGUCACCCCACAUUCUAAAUCAUAAUCAAAUUAUCUGAGAAAUAGAUGUUAUACAUGGCACAAAACACUGAAAGAGAUGUGUCUGAAUGUGCACUGCAUUUGACAAAAUCUAUAAAACCUCACAUAGUUUAAUUCUUCUAAUACCAUGGAGAACCAAAUUAUUAAUUUUUUUUUCAACAUCAAUCUCAAUGCUAAAUAGCUUAAGAAUUAUAAUCAACAGAAACCCAGCAGAACAGAUCUUCACUCAGAUUUGUUGAGCAGAUUCUGAAUGUCAGUGGAAGGUUAUGCAAAGUUUGUAGAUUUAUGCUGGAAUGGACUCUGUGCUUGAGAACAUUUACAACCCUGGUAAUAUUUAAACAUGCUUUAUGUUUGAAGCUCAUUUAUUACUCAGCCAAGACAUUUAGAUUCUCAUUUGGUUCUUAGUGAAGUUUAACUUUAGACCUUUUGUGAAAGUGAAAGUAUUCAGUAAUUUGUGAAGACUGUGUAAUGUUUCAAACUGACCUUUGAACCUUUGACCUUUUUCCCCCUAUUAUUCUGAUUCAAAUGCUUUUUUGGGUUUGCAUGUUUGUCACUUUCAUUGUGCUGUUGUCCAGUGUGUUUUAUUGAAAUGUAUGUCUGUUGUUUGUGUCCUCUUGUUCUUCAACCACAGCUUCAUCAUGUUUGUUGUCUCAAUGUGUUUGAAUCAGCUGGUAUUGCUAGCCUUUUCCAAAUCACAUGUCCUUCCUUUAAUACUGUAUUUUUAUGUGUUGCUGUCUGACUGUUUUUAAAUUUUAUAUUUUAUUAUUUCUCCCAAACAUACUUGUGUUGUGAACAAGUAGGCCUAAUAAAAUUCCUCAUUUUUUUCUGUUCUUUUUAAUCUUUAUAAUAAAUCAUUACAGCAUAAUGUAGAACGAAAUUUUAAUUGUAAUAGAUGUACUGCACAGGCUUUCAGAAUUGACAAAUCUGUGGCCAGUUGGCGUAGAAGUCACAACUUAAAGGGAUAGUUUAAGAAACUGAACAUUAUUUACAACAUCAUUAGCUGUAAUCCAGAGCAUGCAGGCAAACAAGGAAAUGUGAAUACUUUUUGGACAGUUUCUUUCUUGUUCACAUUUACAUAACAUAACAUAACAUAUAUAAUUUUGCAUUAAGGUUCCCGUUAUAAAGUAACCAAUUUACAAAUAACUAAUAACUCACUUACAAAUGCAUUAUAAAUCAUUCAUAAACUGUUAAAAAUGCAUGAAUAAAAAUGUAAUAUCUGCCAUAUAGUGAGCCAUUUUUAACUCACGUGUUAUGAAUGCUUAAUAAAUACAUUUAGUCACACUUUUUUUCACUCAAAA
ensembl:lncRNA